GUAAUUUUGAUCAGUCUACAAUUAUGUUUAUGAGCUUUUCUGAGACCUUUUGUCAAUGGCUACACCAAGACAUAUAUGUACAUGUAAUAUGUAGUUUUGUAUGUUGUGUUAAUACUACAUCACAUUUUUCAAAAUGAUAACACGUACAGUAAUUCUUCUGAAGACAUGACACAAAUUUAAUAUUAAUAGGCCAUAAAUUGGGUUUGUUUUUACACUUUUAACACUUUUGUCUCCUCUUUCUUACUCACAUUACAGAUGCAGAGAUUGCCGUUACAGUUGAUGGUACAUUAAAGGUCUUCCUGUCCAUUCUCAUUGACUUAAUUGCAGACUUCUUACUAGCUCUUGUUGUUCACAGAGACUCGUGGCAGAUAUAUGAUGCUAUUGUAAUUCAUCCUUGUGAGCCAGGAGUAACUGAAUGGAUCAAUGUCUAUAACCUAAAACGGUGCGUCUUGUAGUGACGGACCAGUUUCUGAUCUUUGUUGGACGGGACAGGGUCACCACUCCCUUGUAUAUCAGGAUUUGUGUAUUUUAAUGGGAUUAAUGGAUAUAUACCGUGCGUCUUGUAGUGACGAACCAGUUCCUGAUCUUUGUUGGACGGGACAGGGUCACCACUCCCUUGUAUAUCAGGAUUUGUGUAUUUUAAAGUCAUUUAUUGA